rnacentral:rRNA from 1 species
AUGUGUUCUGAGGAGGCUCUAGGGAUAUUCUUGUGGACUGUUGACAGCCCACAGUCAGUGAGUGAAGUCCAGAACCGAUUCAAGAGGUUCACUGAAACAGUUCACAGAAAAUUCAACCAUGUGUUUAAGUGUUUGGUUUUAUUUGCUGCGGACAUCAUUAGACCCAUUGAUCCCCAAAUCAGAAAUGUGCAGGAGAGACUUCAAGACCAUAAGUUCUUUCCUCACUUCAAUGGUUGCAUUGGUGUCAUCAAUGGAACGCACAUCCCUGUCACUGUGCCAGCUAAAAACAUGAUCAACCAUUUUGGUCGACAUGGUUAUUCAUCACAAAAUGUGAUGGGAGUAUGUGACUUCAACAUGAGAUACAUUUCUGCAGUGGCUGGAUGGCCUGGUUCGGCACAUGACACACGGGUAUUCAAGUAGACAUUUGACAAGCACAAAGAAAGGUUCCCUCAUCCUCCAGCAGGUAUUUCCUUCAAACAAUCACACAACUCAACUUGA